rnacentral:rRNA from 1 species
UACGGGGGGAGCAAGCGUUGUUCGGAUUUACUGGGCGUAAAGGGCGCGUAGGCGGUCGUGACAAGUCACUUGUGAAAUCUCCGGGCUUAACUCGGAACGGUCAAGUGAUACUGUCGGACUAGAGUACAGAAGGGGCAACUGGAAUUCUCGGUGUAGCGGUGAAAUGCGUAGAUAUCGGGAGGAACACCUAUGGCGAAGGCAGCUCGCUGGGACGUUACUGACGCUGAGACGCGAAAGCGUGGGGAGCAAACAGG